rnacentral:lncRNA from 1 species
GAAGGAAGAAGAUAGGGAGGAGGGGAAUAAGAAGGGAUGGAGGGGGCGGAAGAGAGAAGACAGUAGGAAGAGAAAGGUAGAUGGGAGGGAGGAAGAAGAAAUACCUGAAGUCCAUGUAGGGUCAUCUGACACAUGGUGCUGAAGAGUUAUCUUCAUCUCCAGUGAGUAAGGAGGGAAUUACAAGGGGAUCAAAUAAGAAGUACUCCUGGAUAAAAUCCCAGUGCAAGACUUUCUUGAGACUAAACAUAUUCAAAACUGGAAAAAGUAGGAGAGAGAUUUUCUGAAAUCUAUCCAAAGAGAUUUAAAAAUAGCUCAGGUAAGGAUCUGUUACAACAAGAAAGGGGAGUCAUGGCUCUUUCUCAUCUUCCAUACUUUACUCCCUUGCAUUAACACUUCUCUGGUCUCCCUUGAGAUCAGCCAGAUUCAUUGGGAGGAAGGUACAUGUUCCCUGGACUCUUUUAGGGUGAGUCUGGGGACUGCUCCAUGGAUACUGUUUUCAAGAUUUCUUCUACAGAUAGGACAGCAUAUUAGUGUGUUAUUUGGCCCCAAGUGGCCUUUCCUCUUGCAUUUCUUUAUUUGCUUUUCAUUCUCUUACUUCCCUCAGCCGCCAUCAUUGUCCCUGUGGUACAGCGUAAGUGCUUCUAGUAACUGUAACUGCACAUUCGUUGUUACUGUAGGAUUAAGGUAUCUGGCUAUUAUAAAAUGCUAAUACUUAGUGUUUUGCAACUCAUUCCUUUGGAGUGGAGGGCAAUGAGAACACCUGAGAAAGGGUCAGAGUUCAGAACCAGAUCCAGUGGAGUUCGGCUCUCAUUUGGAGUGGUCCAUUUUUCGGUGCUGCACACUUGAGCCAGCUGUACCCCUCAGAUAGGAGAACAGGGCUCACCAAGUGAUGACUGGGACUGCAGAGCAUUUUGAGAACAGGAAGGGUUGGACUCCUUAGAUGGGUCCCAAAGAGGAAAUGAUGCUUACCCGAUGGCGGUGGAAGUGGUUACAAAUGAGACUAAGAGGAUUGGAGCCUGAACUGUAGAUGAAGGUUCUUCCCUAAAUGAUAUACUCGGCCUCAGUAAUAAACUAAUAACAUGGUCCAGUAAAGAAAAUGGGUUGGGGUAAAAGUAGAGCUUUCAGAAGGCAGGUAGGAGAAACAUGCAAUAUUAGUUUAGUUGAAGUUUCCAUUGUUGAUACAAUUAUUGUCACCACAGCAAAAAUAUUAAGAGCUCCUUUAGCUACCUGGUCUAGAGUCAAAUAGGCAAAGUGCGAAUUGGGGCUCCACUGUUCACUGACUUCCCCACCUGGGACAAAGCACUUAUCUUCUCAGAAUCUCAGUAUCCUCCCCUGUAUGAAAGAAUAAUAAUAAUUCUUACCCACAGAAAAUUACACCUUUGUCUUCUGUACCUUCAGCCUCUUCCUCUCGACUAGAUAUUUUCCAUGAGAAUCGAAACAUAUUCAAGAUCUUCUAUGUUU